AUAUCUAUGGUGGCGACCGGCGCACGGGUGCGUAACGCGUAUGCAACCUACCUUUAACAGGGGGAUAACACUGAGAAAUUGGUACUAAUACCCCAUAAUAUCAUAGAAGGCAUCUUUUAUGGUUGAAAAUUCCGAUGGUUAGAGAUGGGCAUGCGUUGUAUUAGCUAGUUGGUGGGGUAACGGCUCACCAAGGCGACGAUACAUAGGGGGACUGAGAGGUUAACCCCCCACACUGGUACUGAGACACGGACCAGACUCCUACGGGAGGCAGCAGUGAGGAAUAUUGGUCAAUGGACGCAAGUCUGAACCAGCCAUGCCGCGUGCAGGAUGACGGCUCUAUGAGUUGUAAACUGCUUUUGUACGAGGGUAAACGCAGAUACGUGUAUCUGUCUGAAAGUAUCGUACGAAUAAGGAUCGGCUAACUCCGUGCCAGCAGCCGCGGUAAUACGGAGGAUUCAAGCGUUAUCCGGAUUUAUUGGGUUUAAAGGGUGCGUAGGCGGUUUGAUAAGUUAGAGGUGAAAUUUCGGGGCUCAACCCUGAACGUGCCUCUAAUACUGUUGAGCUAGAGAGUAGUUGCGGUAGGCGGAAUGUAUGGUGUAGCGGUGAAAUGCUUAGAGAUCAUACAGAACACCGAUUGCGAAGGCAGCUUACCAAACUAUAUCUGACGUUGAGGCACGAAAGCGUGGGGAGCAAACAGGAUUAGAUACCCUGGUAGUCCACGCAGUAAACGAUGAUAACUCGUUGUCGGCGAUACACAGUCGGUGACUAAGCGAAAGCGAUAAGUUAUCCACCUGGGGAGUACGUUCGCAAGAAUGAAACUCAAAGGAAUUGACGGGGGCCC
rnacentral:rRNA from 1 species